rnacentral:lncRNA from 1 species
GAAAAGUCUUUCUCAGUUUUGUAUUAUACUGAAGCUGAGACUUUAAAAGUGUCAUCUCAAAAAGACAAUUCAGAGUUAAAAAUUGCAGCUGAUUUGGCUUCCCCGUUUUAUUGGAAAAACUUCAAAAAUGAAGGAAUCAGUAUCGCAAGAUUAAAGGGGAAGCUAUUAAUGGAAAAUGGUAGAUAUCACUUGCUGAAUUGGAAAAACUUCAAAAAUGAAGGAAUCAGUAUCGCAAGAUUAAAGGGGAAGAUAUUAAUGGAAAAUGGUAGAUAUCACUUGCUGAUGGAUGAUCAUGAUAGAAAUUCCUCAAGAAAUAUGCCUUUGGUACAUUGGAGUUUACCGGAUUCAGAAAAGCUUC